AUGGUGGCGCCACUGGAGCAGCCGGCACCGCAUGCCACCUUGGAACAAGACCAGCGAGACGCCGCCACAGCCACAGAGAAUAGCGGCAGGGAUCACGGAGCUGCCGACAUAGCAGAUGCUGAUCCAGGCGAAGCAAUAUGCGCUCCUGGAUCCGCACCUUCUGUCACGUCAAGGAUUUCGGUGCAGAAGGUGUGCUCGCUCGUUGGCAAGUUUAACAAAUUUAAGAGGGAUUUGGUCGAGGAGAUAGGCUUUGGUGGGAUGCUGGGGAUCAAGAUGCUGGCAAAGUUGAAUUUGAAGUUCAGCGCGUGGCUAAUGGAAAGAGUCGACGUCGAGUCGAGUACACUGAAAAUAGACGAGCAAAGGGUUCUGCAGAUCCAGGACCAUGAUGUCCAGAAGGUAUUCAGUCUGCCAUGCGGCACCAGAUCGAUAUGCCCCGAUACAACCGAGCCGUCUGAAGCUUGCAAAGAGUUCAUGCGAGCUUCUGCCUAUUUGAGCAAAGGUGCGCAUAGUCUAAAGGCCGCGGAGGCUUAUCUCCUGAGAGAUGACAUCAAUGGAGAUUCCAGCAAUGUCCAGAUAGAUUGCUUCAAGAUAGCCUUUGUUAUUUUUGUUGUUGGGCACCUCUUGGCUCCAUCAACUAAGCAUGACUACAUCACCAUAGAUUUCUGGGCCGCACUCAACGAUAUCUCGCAAAUUAAAGAAUUUAAUUGGUGUGCUUAUGUACUCGAGCAUUUGAACAGAGCUGUUGGGAAGUUGAAAACUGAUAUCCGCAACCGGAACAUCACUGUACAUCUUGUUGGCUGCCACCUGUUUCUUCAGGUAUUCUACUUGGACAAUCUUGAUCUUGGUCCACUUUCCAAGACAAAAGACCAUCUACCAAGGAUUAGUCUUUUUGACUACGAGUCAGUUAAGAAGAUGAUAGAAGUGAUUACUAGCAACGUGGAUGGAGAUACAUCAUUCGCUGGAGCUAGUUUUAGGCGCGCUCAAGAUGUUUGCUACUCCAGAGUCCACUGUGAAAGCCACACUCACCGAGCAGAUGUAGCUUCUGACCUGCCCCAUCAUGCCCCAGGUUUUGUUGGCACAAAGCACCAACACAACCCAAUUACUCCCAUGCUACGAAGCAGCUUCACUGAAACUGGACAAGAAGAUUUCUCCAACCAUCUCCGAUUGAAAUACCCGUCACUUGCAGACCACCCGCUUAUGACCAUUUUGGAAGAACAUAAUGCACACAUGAUGGAAAAUAUAUCUGAAAUUAGGCGAAGUUGCGAAGUGGCGAUGUCUACCUUAGCGGACAAGCUUCUUGGCUAUAUAUCUGAGAAUCGCUGUUGCUGCAGAGCGGUGGGACGAACCGAUUGUUUACUGAGGUCACCGCACACAAUUCAUGAGAGUUCAACCGAGCAGAAUUCACUCUCUCACAAACGGGAUGCACCUGAGCCCACUGGAGCAGGACAUCACAAGAAGAUCCGGGUGAACCAACGUCUAGUUGAGACAGACCUUCAAGCAAGUAUACCUGGAUGCUCAACUAACAACAGCCUACCCUGCAGUCCUUUACAAGUUGACAUCAACCUGGCCGCACCUUAG
rnacentral:rRNA from 1 species